GUCAGCUACAGCAGAGUCCUGCUUCCCUCUACAACAGGAAAGCCUGGUCCAUCCUGCUCACAGUCCGCUAAGUCUACUGUCCAACAGCUGCUGCUGCUGAUGAUGAUGAUGAUGCCUGCUCUGUCCUCUGCAGCCCUGCUGCUGCUGCUGCUGCUUCCUGGGACCCUGACUGAGUCCCAUCCUCCAGUUUCUAUUAGUGUGGUGGUGGAGUCACCAAACACCAAACCAGUGACUUACACCACUC